rnacentral:rRNA from 1 species
UAAAGGGAGAGUAGGCGGGAUUGCAAGUCCGUUGUUAAAUCUAUCGGCUCAACCGGUAGCUGCGGCGGAAACUGUAGUUCUUGAGUGAAGUAGAGGCAGGCGGAAUUCCUAGUGUAGCGGUGAAAUGCGUAGAUAUUAGGAGGAACACCAGUGGCGAAGGCGGCCUGCUGGGCUUUAACUGACGCUGAGGCUCGAAAGUGUGGGGAGCAAACAGGAUUAGAUACCCUGGUAGUCCACACUGUAAACGAUGAUUACUAGGUGUGGGGGGACUGACCCCUUCCGUGCCGGAGUAAACACAAUAAGUAAUCCACCUGGGGAGUACGGCCGCAAGGUUGAAACUCAAAGGAAUUGACGGGGGCCCGCACAAGCAGUGGAGUAUGUGGUUUAAUUCGAAGCAACGCGAAGAACCUUACCAGGUCUUGACAUCGUGCGCAUAGUAUAGAGAUAUAUGAAGUCCUUCGGGACGCAUAGACAGGUGGUGCAUGGUUGUCGUCAGCUCGUGUCGUGAGAUGUCGGGUUAAGUCCCUCAACGAGCGCAACCCUUACGAUUAGUUGCUACGCAAGAGCACUCUAAUAGGACUGCCGUUGACAAAACGGAGGAAGGUGGGGAUGACGUCAAAUCAUCAUGCCCCUUAUGACCUGGGCUACACACGUACUACAAUGGUGAUCAACAGAGGGAAGCAAAACGGCGACGUGGAGCAAAUCCCUAAAAGUCAUCUCAGUUCGGAUCGCAGGCUGCAACCCGCCUGCGUGAAGUUGGAAUUGCUA